CGGCGCCCUGAGAACGCCUGCCCCCCAGGCGCGCUCGCCGCGGCCCGCCCGGGACGUGUCGACGCUGCGGUUUCCAAGGUGACGACCACGGAAGCCACGCGGCGCCCACAAGUUUCGCUAGCGUGAGUCCCAACUGGCGAACGAUCCCUUGCUUGGUUUUCAGUUUCUGGGUUGUAAACUGAGCUGUCUCUCGCCAAAUACGGGAUUUUUUUUUUUUUUUAAGAACGAUUUCUGGAUUUAUGUAUUUGUGUCUGUUAUUUUCUUCGCCGUUAGCACCAGAGUCAUUUCAAUUUUUUUCGCCAGCAGGGAGGUCAUUGAAACGACAGGACUACUGGUUGAAUGGUGAGCUGGGCCCUGGCAGCUGGAGGCUCCACCCUUCCCUGUCCUUGGAAUGUGUGUUCUACUUGCCUUUCCUGCUCCCAGCAGCUGCCCAAGGACACAGCCUUGAAAGAGUGAUGUGGUAUUGAGAUGAUCUGGAUGGUAAACACCACUGAACCCAGCUGAGGCCUCCAUGUCGGUGUCACCCCACUUUACCGAUGAGAAGGCGGAAUCACAACAGAAUGACUUCCCCACCGUGGCAGAGCUUUGAGUGGCAAACACUGCAUUUUGAACUCCCUUCCAUCAUAUCAGCAUCACUUACUGAAGAAGUAAUUAGUACUACUACAAGACCCUUUCCCAGAAUCAAAGGAGAUGUUGUUCACUAAUGCUUUUUCCAAACUAGAACAUGUUACUCAAGGGAAGGAUGUCAAGACUUAAGGACUGAAGCUGAAACAGGCCCUUUGGAACAAUAUGAAUGAAAUAAAUCAACAGAACUGCCAUCCCCAGUCUUCCAAUAUCAAUCACUAAAACUGUUACUGAUCAUCUGGUAUGUUCCAGGGCUACUUCGAAUAUCUGCAGCAGCUUUUUCAACUUGUAUUAAGGUACUUCUAUAGGGCAUUCACGAAGAGAUAAAGACCACACCAAUCUCCAGAUUUGAGCUACUGGGUCUCUAAAAGAAGAUCCUUUCCCUUUCAAUGCAUGGACAAACUGUUACACCAAAAAAAGUUUCUUCCAUAGAUAGUUUUAAUCCUGAAAGGAAACUCCCCACAUGCAAAAAAUGUACAUAUUACAGACUCUUACUGUACAUACCCUGGACAAUACCUUCUUAUCUUAGGUAAAAUCUGCCACGUGAACAAAGGGAGCAGAUUUUAUCAUAAGAUGCUUUUCACCACUCUUUGGAUCAGAGCUUGUUUGUGCUUUCUUUUGAGACACAGAAAGCCAAGAGAAAAACAGAUGUUCCUUUUAAGCUCUAAUUCGGAUUUAGAUUUUAGAAUUCAGUUUCAAUUAAACAACUAGUUAAUAAGCUCUUAUUUGUGAAACACUUGAAGCUGUGUGGAUUACAAAAAAUAAAAUAAAGCCUCAGUUCUUCAGGAGUUCUGAACCUAAUGAGUAAUAUAUAUUCAUACUCUAUUGGUAAGGGGGGAGAUAGUAAAUAGGAGGUUACUUCUUUGAGGCAGCUUUGAAGGAAGAGAAAGUUAGAGGCUAACAGAUAUCAACUGAUAGGUAUGGGAAGCUUAUUCCAGGCAGAGAUUACAACUUUGAGUACAGACUGGGAGAUGAGAGACUGUGGGUAUGCUGGAUUUAUGAGUAGAAGAUCGAUGUGAUAGAGCAUGGGCACAUGGAAGAAGGCAAGGAGAGGAAAUAUAUAGCAGGAAAUAAGGCUGUUACGGAGGUAAGAGCCAAAUUCUGUAGGACUCCGAAUAUCAGAAUAAGUAGAAAGUUUUUUUUUUUAAAUCAAAGAAAG